rnacentral:rRNA from 1 species
CUAAUACAUGCAAGUCGAGCGAGCGGAACAACAGAUUUACUUCGGUAAUGACGUUGGGAAAGCGAGCGGCGGAUGGGUGAGUAACACGUGGGGAACCUGCCCCUAAGUCUGGGAUACCAUUUGGAAACAGGUGCUAAUACCGGAUAAUAAAGCAGAUCGCAUGAUCAGCUUUUGAAAGGCGGCGUAAGCUGUCGCUAAGGGAUGGCCCCGCGGUGCAUUAGCUAGUUGGUAAGGUAACGGCUUACCAAGGCGACGAUGCAUAGCCGAGUUGAGAGACUGAUCGGCCACAUUGGGACUGAGACACGGCCCAAACUCCUACGGGAGGCAGCAGUAGGGAAUCUUCCACAAUGGACGCAAGUCUGAUGGAGCAACGCCGCGUGAGUGAAGAAGGUUUUCGGAUCGUAAAGCUCUGUUGUUGGUGAAGAAGGAUAGAGGUAGUAACUGGCCUUUAUUUGACGGUAAUCAACCAGAAAGUCCACGGCUAACUACGUGCCAGCACCCGCGGUAAUACGUAGGUGGCAAGCGUUGUCCGGAUUUAUUGGGCCUUAAACGGAGCCCAGCCGGAAAAAUAAGUCUAAUGUGAAAGCCCUCGGCUUAACCGAGGAACUGCAUCGGAAACUGUUUUUCUUGAGUGCAGAAGAGGAGAGUGGAACUCCAUGUGUAGCGGUGGAAUGCGUAGAUAUAUGGAAGAACACCAGUGGCGAAGGCGGCUCUCUGGUCUGCAACUGAC